AGAAAAACAAACAAAACAAAAACACAUCUGGGAAACACUGCCACAACUAAAACUUGGAUACGCAGCAUUUAUAUAUAUUUUUAAAAUAUUUCCUUUACAGCUUGUCUUAAUGACUUUUGUCUUAUAUACGUCUGCCUUCCCUUGGACUGUUCUGAUUGGCUGUUGUUUAGGGAGGCUAUUUGGUUGUGAGGUUAUAAAAGAGGAAAAAAGAAAUGGAGUUUUAACUGACUACACCUCCACUUCAUUUCCCCAACGCCACAUCAAAGAAAGGAACAGUUGGAAGUGCUGUCAUACUUUACAAGAAUAAUAAAAAGCAAAUAUGGAAAAGGAAAAAUGACUGACUCAGUUAUUACAAAAGUUCAGUUUUCAUCAGCCCUGCGUGUUUGUCUCAAUAUACAAAUAAUAAUGAUAAUAUCAGAUGUCUAUGACAAAAUGAACUUUGCUGUCUUGACUGCCAUGGUCACUGUAGCCCUUGUCCAUCUGGGCACUACGAACUCUUUACCUUGUCAAGGCACAAGCCUCCGAAGUAAAUAUGACGAAUUUAUCAGAAGACACAUCCUUCAAGAUGAAUUUAACCGAAGUCUUCCAAGAGAGUGGGAGAAAUAUUUGAAAAAGAAAGGCCUCUGGUGCAGAACUCCAGUGCAGUCCUUCAUCGAGAGCAGAGAUCGGGUGAAUAUCGAUAGGAUCUGCAGCCGAAAUGGUCGACGUCUAAUUAAUGCCUUCCCAGAUAACUUGUGUAUCAGUAGUUCAAACAUACUGGUACAUGACAUCCAGUUUGUAAAUGGUUGUGAACUUAAUGUGAUAUCACAUCAAAAGCCUGUGAUUGUAGCCUGCAAUAAUGUUGAAAACCGCUGCCGCCCUGUGCAUUUUGAGAGAUACCAACAGCAAAUGCCAAGCAAUAUGCCCUGCAUGUAGCCACAGUUUUGCACUAUUUGAUGUACUAAUUAGUCAAUCGGGCUUUUCAAGUAUAAUCUCAAUCAAAUAAAUGAAUAAAUGUAUCCUACAGAGCUUGCUGAAUGGUGCAACUCUGAGUAUCUGUCUUCAUGUUUAUUAAAUGUAACAGUGAGUUCCUGUUCAAAUAAUGUGAGUAAAUGUUCAGAGUCAUUAUUGUCAGUCAUUGUUUUCAUUUUUAGAAUGUUGGCUUUAUUCUUUGUCAAUUUGGUUAAAUAUUUCAACACAAUUAACAUAAAGAGUGAAUCUUACGCAUUUUUGUUGUAAUUGGGAAGUCGUCAUUACUGGGAUUCAGUCUUGUUCUCCAAGUGCUGUGCUAUAGCCAGUCUGGCUUCUAUCUGGAAUCCAUUUUUAAGCACAUGUAAAACAAUUAUAAAACAGUUGUCAGCUUUUCUUGUCUUUCAGCUGUUAAUACCAACAAAUAUUUGGGGGGGGGGGGGGGGGGGGGGGGGUUGCAGAGCAUGUCUGUAAGACCCAGUGACUAUGAGUUAUGAGUUUUGCAUACAGCGGCAUAAAUUUGCUUGUCUUGCUGCAGCUGCAGGAACACUGCAUUUUCCUCUGUUAUAAGCUGUGUUACAUGCUUAAGUAAAUUAUAAAGGAUGCUUUUCUAUUUGUCUCUCUUUCUUUAACCUUUCAGUUUCACUUUUGAGGCACCAAACUUGUUUAGGACAUGUCACACGUUGGGACAGCAUGGCAGACCACU
ensembl:lncRNA